ensembl:lncRNA
AAGUGACUGCGGCGUCGUCAUGACAACCGCCGGCUGCUUUCCGCGUCCCUGCCCCUUCUCUGACUUGUGAACUCCUCGCUGAGGGUGUUAACUCGUCCCUCCCGGAAAGCUCCGUCCGUCUCCUAGGUUACAGGCCAGCCCGGGGGCGGGCCUAAAAGGCCUUUUUGGUCCCUUCUCUGACUUGUGAACUCCUCGCUGAGGGUGUUAACUCGUCCCUCUCUGAAAGCUCCGUCCGUCUCCUAGGUUACAGGCCAGCCCGGGGGCGGGCCUAAAAGGCCUUUUUGGUCCCUUCUCUGACUUGCGAACUCCUCGCUGAGGGUGUUAACUCGUCCCUCUCUGAAAGCUCCGUCCGUCUCCUAGGUUACAGGCCAGCCCGGGGGCGGGCCUAAAAGGCCUUUUUGGUCCCUUCUCUGACUUGUGAACUCCUCGCUGAGGGUGUUAACUCGUCCCUCUCUGAAAGCUCCGUCCGUCUCCUAGGUUACAGGCCAGCCCGGGGGCGGGCCUAAAAGGCCUUUUUGGUCCCUUUCCCCCUCCUCCUAGACUAGGUGUAACUUCGAGCGCUCUUCGCGCAUCAUUAAUUAUUAUUCAUGAAGCUACAGAUUCCCGGCGCUCAAAAGAUGCGGGCGUUCGCCCUCCCUGUGUUGCCGCGUAGGUGUCCUACGCAGAGCAUUCUGGGAAAUGUAGUCCUUGAUC